GAUGAACGCUGGCGGCGUGCCUAAUACAUGCAAGUAGAACGCUGAAGGAGGAGCUUGCUCUUCUGGAUGAGUUGCGAACGGGUGAGUAACGCGUAGGUAACCUGCCUGGUAGCGGGGGAUAACUAUUGGAAACGAUAGCUAAUACCGCAUGACAACAGUUAUUGCAUGAUAACUGUUUAAAAGGGGCAACUGCUCCACUACCAGAUGGACCUGCGUUGUAUUAGCUAGUUGGUGAGGUAACGGCUCACCAAGGCGACGAUACAUAGCCGACCUGAGAGGGGGGUCGGCCACCCUGGGACUGAGACACGGCCCAGACUCCUUCGGGAGGCAGCAGUAGGGGAUCUUCGGCAAUGGACGGAAGUCUGACCGAGCAACGCCGCGGGAGGGGAGAAGGUUUUCGGAUCGUAAAGCUCGUUUGUUAGAGAAGAACGAGUGGUAGAGUUGAAAGUUCACACUGUGACGGUAUCUUACCAGAAAGGGACGGCUAACUACGUG
rnacentral:rRNA from 1 species